UUGCAGCUGAUCAAGCCGACUAUGUGCUUUUCCCUGUGGGGUCCCAGGGUGCAGUGGCUGCAAAUAGCAGCCCCCCUGGUGGUGUAUGCAGUCAGUUGUCUGUACAGGUUGCCCUAAGGGACCUUGAAGACAACU
ensembl:snoRNA SNORA70 Small nucleolar RNA SNORA70